UAAAAAAUGAAAAGAUAUUUAACUAUUGACAUUAUGCGAUUAUUUUCACUGAAUUUUUUUCUUAAAUUCUGGGGAUCUUUAAUCUUUGAUACUCAGUAAAUAGAAGCUGGGAAUCUUGAGAGUACACUGACUUCAUUUAUUUCCCAAUUAACCAAUAAAAAAUCAACUGCGUAGAAUGAAGGAACAGCAUUGAGUAGACGAUCCACGAGUUGGGUGAUAUGAUGACUCUAAAACACCGCUUUGACAUUCUUGCACGUUGUCCAUAAUUUUUCACCCGAGACUAAGAGCAACAGCUAACUGGGGGGAAGACAAGAUGUUGAUAUAAGUAAAAACGAGGGAAACAUAUGAGUGAAAUAUGCUGUUGAAAAUGGGAAAAAAUAAUUUGACCUAGUUUUGAAGUAAUGGAAAAUUUACUACGACUUAAUAUUCUUUCUCUACACGAUUUGAACUAUUGAGAAGGUCUAAAGUUUUCUAACAUCCAUAAAAAAAUAAUGUGAUGUACUUAAUGAAGCGCAAUCGUUAGUACCUUAGAAGGUACAACGGUGGUUGUCGAACCCAUCAUUGUAUAUUACCAAAGGCCGCGCCUAUAAUACUAUUUUUCCGCUCAACUUCCUACUGGGCCACUAUUACUAAUACAACUAAAAAAUAUACUAAUAAAGUAUAUGGAAAAAUAUUGGUAUCUGGUCUGGUAUAUAUGAGUAGAGCUCGUGGGCUCCUGAAAUAGAAUCGUGAAAGAGGAAUUAAGUCUCAUAUGUGUGUGCUGGUACUACGGGUUCUAUUCUAUUCAACUAUUGCACACAAUAACAUCAGGAAGGGGUAUGAGUACACAUUAACGCAAACUAGAAUGAGAAUAAGAGGCGAGUCGGCGGAAUUGAGCAAAAGAAGAAAAAUAAAUAAAUUAAUAAAAUAAAAAAAAGAAAAUUAAGUGUAGAAUAAAAUGAGAAUGAGAUGUGUAAAAAAUGAAAAAAAAUUGAUGGAUAAUUUUAAACUAGAAUUUUUGUUUAUAUUUCACAAUUUCAAGAAGAAAACAGACCGCAUUAAUUGAGUACAGGUCAAGCUAUCAUUAAUGAGUUGUUUAAGAAUGAAUAUAUGGAUGUGUGCAAAAUAUAUAUAAAUAAAUG